CCUACGGGAGGCAGCAGUGAGGAAUUUUGCGCAAUGGGGGAAACCCUGACGCAGCAACGCCGCGUGAGUGAUGAAGGCCUUCGGGUCGUAAAGCUCUGUCAAGUGGGAAGAACAUGCCUGAUGAUAAUACCAUCGGGCACCGACGGUACCACUGAAGGAAGCACCGGCUAACUCCGUGCCAGCAGCCGCGGUAAUACGGGGGGUGCAAGCGUUAUUCGGAAUCAUUGGGCGUAAAGGGCGCGUAGGCGGUCUUUUAAGUCAGAUGUGAAAGCCCUCGGCUUAACCGAGGAAGUGCAUUUGAUACUAAAAGACUUGAGUAUGGGAGAGGGAAGCGGAAUUCCUGGUGUAGCGGUGAAAUGCGUAGAUAUCAGGAGGAACACCGGUGGCGAAGGCGGCUUCCUGGACCAAUACUGACGCUGAGGCGCGAAGGCGUGGGGAGCAAACAGGAUUAGAUACCCUGGUAGUCCACGCAGUAAACUGUGAACACUAGGUGUAGCGGGUAUUGACCCCCGCUGUGCCGAAGCUAACGCAUUAAGUGUUCCGCCUGGGAAGUACGGCCGCAAGGUUAAAACUCAAAGGAAUUGACGG
rnacentral:rRNA from 1 species